GGCCGACUAGCUCAGUUGGUUAGAGCGUCGUGCUAAUAGAGACAUCUAUUGACGCGAAGGUCUUGGGUUCGACCCCCACGUUGGCCA